AAGGGGCCCCAGCAACCUCCCGUGGGGCGGCCUUGCGUCCGUCAUGGCCGAAACUGCGUCUGUGUGAGGUUUUCGUCUAGAGAUUCCAGGUCCCUAUGAAGCAACAGCUAUUUUACCAGUGAGGAAACCGGGGUUUGGAGAGACUGCUGCCCCGGCCCGGAGAGCCAGCAGCGCUGAAGUGUAGUCUGUCCUCCCAUCUGCGCUCUUAACCACCGCCUUAGUUUCCCUAGGGGAGAUUUUAGGGGAUGCAGGGGUAGGUCCUUAAAUCACUUUAUCGCAUGGUGAGAAAGUUACUCCCUUUUUACUUCUCGUUCAGUCUCUCUGAUUACACCAAUGAGAAAGUCCCAGUUCGGUGCUAAUGUUUUUAAUUCCUCUCUAACAGUUGCUAAUCGCCGCUUUAACAGAAUACGCCUUGAACUGAUUGAAAGCCCUUAGCAGGUAGUUGAAUUUAUAGAGGAUUUAGUAAUAUUGUUUAUUUUCAUGGUAUGUAUUUCUAUCCAUACUGAUUUUCCAAUGACUACGGUGAAAUAAAGUUUGUUUUAUAUUUA